rnacentral:rRNA from 1 species
UACAGAGGUCUCAAGCGUUGUUCGGAUUCAUUGGGCGUAAAGGGUGUGUAGGUGGCGCCGUAAGUCGGGUGUGAAAUUUCGGAGCUUAACUCCGAAACUGCAUUCGAUACUGCCGUGCUUGAGGACUGGAGAGGAGACUGGAAUUUACGGUGUAGCGGUGAAAUGCGUAGAUAUCGUAAGGAAGACCAGUGGCGAAGGCGGGGUCUCUGGACAGUUCCUGACGCUGAGGCACGAAGGUCAGGGGGAGCAAACGGG